UUGCUUACGCUUUAACACCGACCAUGUCGGCGCCGACAGAUUUUUACAUGCGUUGUUCUAACUACCGUAAUUCCUAGACCAUUUGUGCCAGAAAAAUCAUUCAAACAGUUCCUGAAAGUAGAGAGAAUGGCCUUUGCACUCAUAUAAGGCUUAUUACGGUAGGCCGCUGCGAUUGCGAGAUUCGACAGGUCAAACACAGGCGAGACUUUACUUUGCUGAGUCACACAGCGGAAAAGAGCAGAAAGAGGACAAAAGAGGACAAAACGAGUGGACUUUUUGGAAAACUUUGUCAGCAAUACGAUCCUAUUUGUAAGAGCAAAUGUCAAGAAAAUCAUCUAGAGUUAUAAAGUUAUAAAAAGAGUCAUAAAAAAGUUAUAACAACCCCAAAAGGUUGAUUGACGGCGAUCGUGACCACAAUGGCACAUUUUCAUCCGAAGCAGACAUUCCUUCUGGUGAUGGGCCACCCAAACAGUCAGUACCAGAGAGCAGUCCCUGGCAGUGUGAGGAGUGCAAUGUGGGCCUGUGUCUGCAGCUACAGAGAGUACCACAAAGGCCAAAAAACGCCUGGACUUUCUUGAAGAAAAUGGAUUAUAAAACAAAAACUGAAAGUCCAAGGCUCCCAAACUUUCUGGGGCAGAUGUAUAAUAGUUGAACUUUCACAUUUGACAUGUGUAACCUUUUGUCUAGUGGCAUUCAGAGUUUCUCAUUUCAUGAAAACCUUGAAAAUCUAGUUUCGUUUUUGUUUUUUCCCUUAUUUGAACUCUUAUAACACACUGACAAUAUGCAGUAAUGUUAAACAACUGCCAGAUAUUGAAAGCUGAGAUAAUCCUGGAAAAAGGUGUAAAAGCAUUUAUUUAUAGCACAUUUUCUGACACAUUUACAGCCAAAACAACAAAAUAUAUCCAGGCGGCCUGUUUGAGGCUUAGGUGUUAAAGGGUUAAAGAUCCCGACUUU